rnacentral:lncRNA from 1 species
UGAACAUAAUCAUGGUGCAAAUUGCUUAGAACGUAUGGUGUUGGUGAUGAUGAUGAUAAUGAUGAUGAUGAUGAUGAUGACGACGACUACGACGCUGAUGACUACGACAACCAACUAUCCAUAAAGCAUCACAACAUGUCAAGGUAAAAUUGAACAUAAAAGAAGCAAUGUUGUACAUAAUGUUACCAUAUUGUUUACAUAGAAUGACACUUCUUUUGAACGAUGUAAUUUUAAAGAUUACAGACUGGCCACUAGAGUAACGAUGAAAAAGGAACAAGCUUCCUUUUAACGCUAUUCUAUUUGAGUCAAAAACAUUUUUUUCUUAGAGAAAUGAUAAUAAGUUCCUGGUCUUAGACUAAGUUUAUUCUUUCAUUUGAAAAGUAUUCUACUGAUGGUCAACGUCUCAAACAUAGUACAUAGGUCUUGUAAAAUGUUUUGAUAACCUUGGCAUUUAACAAAAAUAUUAUUUCUUCUUGUUUAUUUUCUAGGUAAUCUUGUUGGCAAAGACAAAGACCACACAGAAAGUAUAGAUGACGGUUUUUAUGUUUUCUUAUCUUAUUUUUAAGGCAACACUAUUAUAACUAUAUGUUUAUGUUCUUACACAUGCCUUUAUGCACUAUAUCUACACUAUAUACAGGGUAACUUUGGAAACGUACAUCUAGAUAAUGAUAUAAACGGAUAACAGGCGUUCAUAAUUAUCUUGUCUGUGUGUUUGGUGUUUUUUUUCGUUUUGACAAGGUGUUGUUUGCAAUAGUGGUGGUUUGAGCUUUCAGUGUGGUCAUUUUGGUUUUAUAUACGAUGGUAUGUGUUGUUUCGUCAAAAAAGGUUAUUUGAGGCGUUUUGUUUGAUAAUUUGGUGCGUUUUGUUUGUUUGUUUUUUUGUGCGUUUUGUUUGAAUAUUUGAUGCGUUUUGUUGGGUUAUUUGAUGCGUUUUGUUUGGUAUUUGGUGCGUUUUGUUUGGAUAUUUGAUGUGCAUGUGUAUUUAUUUGGUGCGUUGUAUUGGGUUAUUUGGUGCGUUUUAUGGGAAGUAUCAAGAAUUCUGUUACGUUCUGAAAUAUCAUGCACAAGGUGAGUUUAUUUCUGCAUUUAUAAUUUAUAUACAUUAACAUGUUAAUCUAAGUAUUGUUUGUUUCUAUUCGGCAGGGAUGAAGCAGUUAGACAGACAUCAGGGGCAGACUCCAUCUGGGAUUGGAUAAAAACACGCAAACGUUCUAUGUUACUUCGACUUUUUAUUCGUUUUGUUUUGUUGCCUUUUCUACUUUCAGGUUUUUUAUCUUGAGGAGUAAAGACACGUGCGAAUUUUGAAGCUGCAGCCCAGAGACGAUGUUGGAAUAUUUGGUGCAUUUUGUUGGAUUAUUUGAUACGUUUUGUUGAGAUAUAUGUAUAUGUAUAGUAUAAUAAAGAAAAGAGAUGACUUCUUAGAUAAAGAAGAUGCCAAUCAUGAUCUAUGUCCUUAGAAGACAACCUUGGAAUGCGGACUUAAGAGUGAGUGGUACACCUAUGGUGGCGGAUAUUGGCCAUUCCAGCACGUGUGUGAUUGUAACAGUUAAUUUAGUGGACAUUGUAGCUUGGUACUUCUUUCUAAUGAGGGUGUCGGGGAUCUUGAAGAAUAAAGACACGUGCGAAUAGUGAAUAUGCAGAUCGGACAUAAAAAUAAAGUGCAAGCCAUGACCGUGGAAUGCGGACUCGGGAGCGAGGGCUACAACUUUGGUGGCGAAUAUUGGCCAUUCAAGCACGUGUGUAGAUGCCACAAUGGUUUAGUUAACAGCACAGCUUGGUCCUUUUUCUUCAUCGUAACGAGGGUAUGGGGGAUCUUGAAGAAUAAAGGCAAUGCGAACAGUGAAGACGCUGAUCAGAUAUAAUAACAUAACCGUGGAAUGCAGACUCGACAGCGAGGGCUACAACUAUGGUGGCGGAUGUAGGUCAUUCAAGCACGUGUGUAGAUGCCACAAUGGUUUAGUUAACAGCACAGCUUGGUCCUUGUUCUUCAUCGUAAUGGGACAGUGUGCACAGAGAAAAAGAGGACAUCCCGCAUGGCAGAUCACAAGAUUUUGAGUGAAAGUGCACGAGCUAGGGAAAGACAACCUAGACAUGCGGACUCAAGUGGGAAUGGUGCAACUAUGGUGGCGAAUAAUGGCCGUUUUAUGCGCGUGUGUGGAUGUCACAAUGGUGUAGUGGACAGAGCAGUUUGGACUUCUUACUUCUUCGUAACGAGUAAUUUAAGGUAUGGGAAUGCCGAUACAGGUCGUGAUUUGGGACGAGACGGAACUGUCCGAAGAUAUCCAGUUUUCAAAAUCAUACACGGCGCGAAGGACUUGCUGGUCAUAAUGUUGUAUAAUGUACCUUAAAUACAAGAAGAAAAUAUUUGAAUACAGAGCUGUUAUCCUGUCGAUGCCGGUCAGACACCAGAGGCGUAGGACUUCGUUACUGGUACCCUAUCAAUGUCACAAGAGAUGUAGGACUUCCUUGCUGGUUCCCUCAGAAAUGUACUUGACACUCAACGAUUUUCCACAAGCACUAUUUCGAUGGGCAAGAAAAGAUGGCUUCGAAGCCUUGGUGGACAUUGUCGUCUUGGUUGUAACAGAGAAUUCUCAUUCGCCAUGUACAAAAAGAACAAAAAAAUGAAGAUCACGAUGACAGGCGUCCAAAGCUUGGUUAAGGUAAAGAGAAGACAGUGGUUGGUGUACUAAAAAGACGUAGAAACAUAAACAAUGGCUGAAAACAAACACCAUUCGUGCACUUCGGUGGCUAUAUAUUAUUUCCAGUAGCUGGAAGCCCGAUGUAGGCAAGAAUAGAAUCAUCUACAGAGUCCGCGAGCACAUGUGAAAAACAUACACGCACGAUGUAAAAGACAGAAUUACAUGUAAAUACGGGGAUCUAAGACAGUACCGACACAAGCAGUACAGAUUUCAAACAUUCGAAAAACAUGAAGACAUUUUAGAAGCUGACAUAAAUGUAUAUGAUAUUGUGUCUGAAAUGUUUUAAGCGGACAUCACAUGUGCCUUUUGCGUUAUUGCAUUAUCAUUUUUAGCUCAACUAUACGAAGUAUAAGGAGAGCUAUCCUACUCGCCCCGGCGUCGGCGUCGGCGUCUUUCCGCGUCCC